CCUACGGGAGACAGCAGUGAGGAAUAUUGGUCAAUGGACGAGAGUCUGAACCAGCCAAGUAGCGUGAAGGAUGACUGCCCUAUGGGUUGUAAACUUCUUUUAUAUGGGAAUAAAAUGUUCCACGUGUGGGUUUUUGUAUGUACCUUAUGAAUAAGGAUCGGCUAACUCCGUGCCAGCAGCCGCGGUAAUACGGAGGAUCCGAGCGUUAUCCGGAUUUAUUGGGUUUAAAGGGAGCGUAGGUGGAUUGUUAAGUCAGUUGUGAAAGUUUGCGGCUCAACCGUAAAAUUGCAGUUGAAACUGGCAGUAGUGAGUACAGUAGAGGUAGGCGGAAUUCGUGGUGUAGCGGUGAAAUGCUUAGAUAGCACGAAGAACUCCGAUUGCGAAGGCAGCUCACUGGACUGCGACUGACACUGAGGCUCGAAAGUGUGGGUAUCAAACAGGAUUAGAUACCCCGGUAGUC
rnacentral:rRNA from 1 species